AUUGAACGCUGGCGGCAUGCCUAACACAUGCAAGUCGAGCGGAGCGGCGAACGGGUGAGUAAUGCCUAGGAAUGUGCCUGGUAGUGGGGGAUAACGUCCGGAAACGGGAGCUAAUACCGCAUACUAUCGGAUGAGCCUAUGUCGGAUUAGCUAGUUGGUGGGGUAACGGCCCACCAAGGCGACGAUCCGUAACUGGUCUGAGAGGAUGAUCAGUCACACUGGAACUGAGACACGGUCCAGACUCCUACGGGAGGCAGCAGUGGGGAAUUUUGGACAAUGGGGGAAAGCCUGAUCCAGCCAUGCCGCGUGUGUGAAGAAGGUCUUCGGAUUGUAAAGCACUUUAAGUAGGGAGGCGUUACCAACAGAAUAAGCACCGGCUAACUUCGUGCCAGCAGCCGCGGUAAUUC
rnacentral:rRNA from 1 species